rnacentral:rRNA from 1 species
CACGUAGGGUGCGAGCGUUGUCCGGAAUUAUUGGGCGUAAAGAGCUCGUAGGCGGUGUGUCGCGUCGGCCGUGAAAACCUGCAGCUUAACUGUGGGCUUGCGGUCGAUACGGGCAUCACUGGAGUUCGGCAGGGGAGACUGGAAUUCCUGGUGUAGCGGUGAAAUGCGCAGAUAUCAGGAGGAACACCGGUGGCGAAGGCGGGUCUCUGGGCCGAUACUGACGCUCGAUGCACGAAAGCGUGGGGAGCAAACAGG